rnacentral:rRNA from 1 species
CCUACGGGUGGCAGCAGUGGGGAAUAUUGCACAAUGGGGGAAACCCUGAUGCAGCGACGCCGCGUGAAGGAAGAAGUAUUUCGGUAUGUAAACUUCUAUCAGUAGGGAAGAAAAUGACGGUACCUGACUAAGAAGCCCCGGCUAACUACGUGCCAGCAGCCGCGGUAAUACGUAGGGAGCAAGCGUUAUCCGGAUUUACUGGGUGUAAAGGGAGCGUAGGCGGUUUAGCAAGUCAGAAGUGAAAGCCCGGGGCUCAACUGCAGGACUGCUUUUGAAACUGUUGAACUAGAUUGCAGGAGAGGUAGGUGGAAUUCGUGGUGUAGCGGUGAAAUGCGUAGAUAUUAAGAAGAACACCAAUGGCGAAGGCGGCUUACUAGACUGUAAAUGACACUGAGGCUCGAAAGCGUGGGGAGCAAACAGGAUUAGAUACCCGAGUAGUC